CCUGGUUGAUCCUGCCAGUAGUUAUAUGCUUGUCUCAAAGCUUAAGCCAUGCAAGUCUCAGUACGAGCUGACUUAAAGUGAAACCGCAAAAGGCUCAGUAAACCGGUCAUAGUUUACCGGAUAUAUGCCACUCACGUGGAUAACUGUGGUAAUUCUAGAGCUAAUACAUGCAACCAAGUCCCGACCAGCGAUGGAAAGGACGCUUUUAUUGGAUCAAAACCAUUCGCCCGGCUCGCCCGGGCGUCUGCUUGAUGACUCUAGAUAACACCACAGAUCGCACGGUCACAGUACCGGCGACGUAUCCGUCAAAUGUCUGACUUAUCAGCUGUCGAUGGUAGACUCUGUGUCUACCAUGGCGCUCACGGGUAACGGGGAAUCAGGGUUCGAUUCCGGAGAGGGAGCCUGAGAAACGGCUACCACAUCCAAGGAAGGCAGCAGGCACGCAAAUUACCCACUCCCGGCACGGGGAGGUAGUGACAAAAAAAAUAACGAUACGGGACUCAUCCGAGGCCCCGUAAUCGAAUGAGAACACCCUAAAUCCUUUAACGAGGAUCUAUUGGAGGGCAAGUCUGGUGCCAGCAGCCGCGGUAAUUCCAGCUCCAAUAGCGUAUAUUAAAGUUGUUGCGGUUAAAAAGCUCGUAGUUGGUUCUGCGUGCCACGCUGUCGGUUCACCGCCUGUCGGUGCAACUGGCAUGCCGUGGCAUGUCCUGUCGGUGGCCGACGGGCUUCGCGGCGCGCCCCACUCGCUCACGCGUGUGGGUCGACGCGCCGUGUCGUCCUCGUUGGCCGGCUCAAUCCUACCGCGGUGCUCUUAAACGAGUGUCGAGGUAGGCCGACACUGUUUACUUUGAACAAAUAGAGUGCUUCAAGCAGGCUCUGAAAGCAGCCUGAAUAGUGGUGCAUGGAAUAAUGGAACAGGACCUUGGUUCUAUUUUGUUGGUUUCCGGAAUCCAAGGUAAUGAUCAAUAAGGACAGGCGGGGGCAUUCGUAUUGCGACGUUAGAGGGGAAAUUCUUGGAUCGUCGCAAGACGCACUAGAGCGAAAGCAUUUGCCAAGUAUGUCUUAAUUGAUCAAGAACGAAAGUUAGAGGUUCGAAGGCGAAUCAGAUACCGCCCUAGUUCUUAACCAUAAACGAUGCCAGCCAGCGAUCCGCCGGAUGUUCCUCCGAUGACUCGGCGGGGAGCUUUCCCCCGGAACCCAAAAGCUUUGGUUUCCCGGGGAAAGCUCCCCGCCGAGUCAUCG
rnacentral:rRNA from 1 species